rnacentral:rRNA from 1 species
CCCAAACUCCUACGGGAGGCAGCAGUAGGGAAUCUUCCACAAUGGACGCAAGUCUGAUGGAGCAACGCCGCGUGAGUGAAGAAGGGUUUCGGCUCGUAAAGCUCUGUUGGUAGUGAAGAAAGAUAGAGGUAGUAACUGGCCUUUAUUUGACGGUAAUUACCUAGAAAGUCACGGCUAACUACGUGCCAGCAGCCGCGGUAAUACGUAGGUGGCAAGCGUUGUCCGGAUUUAUUGGGCGUAAAGCGAGUGCAGGCGGUUCAAUAAGUCUGAUGUGAAAGCCUUCGGCUCAACCGGAGAAUUGCAUCAGAAACUGUUGAACUUGAGUGCAGAAGAGGAGAGUGGAACUCCAUGUGUAGCGGUGGAAUGCGUAGAUAUAUGGAAGAACACCAGUGGCGAAGGCGGCUCUCUGGUCUGCAACUGACGCUGAGGCUCGAAAGCAUGGGUAGCGAACAGGAUUAGAUACCCUGGUAGUCCAUGCCGUAAACGAUGAGUGCUAAGUGUUGGGAGGUUUCCGCCUCUCA